CUUCCUGUUCAUAACUGUUUGGGGAAAUUAACCUAGUUAGCAUAUGUGACUCCAUUUUGGGUUUCCUGUUGGCCAUUAACUAGAAGCGAGCAC